UUUUAGCCUGGAUGGGAUUGGAAACCCCGGACUUAUAUUUGUUAGUUUUUUGGGGAUAAAAGAGCGACUUUAGAAGCUCCUUUUAUGCUUUAAAAAAACAACAAAGAUAAGGAGGAGUUGCAAUGUACAGCUGGAAUAGCU
rnacentral:ncRNA from 4 species